UACGGGGGUGGCGAGCGUUACUCGGAUUCAUUGGGUGUAAAGGACAGGUAGGUGGCCAUGUAAGUUGGAGGUGAAAUCCUGCGGCUCAACCGCAGAACUGCCUUCAAGACUGCAUGGCUUGAGGCUAGAAGAGGAGAGCGGAAUUCCCGGUGUAAGGGUGAAAUCUGUAGAUAUCGGGAGGAACACCAGUGGCGAAAGCGGCUCUCUGGUCUAGCCCUGACGCUGAUCUGUGAAAGCUAGGGGAG
rnacentral:rRNA from 1 species